rnacentral:tRNA from 1 species
GCCCUGGUAGUAUAGAGGCUGAAGCCGUAAAACCUGGUCUAGUAUGCGGGUCUGUCACACCCGCGGCCCGGGUUCAAAUCCCGGCCAGGGCGCCA